AUGCCAAGGCCGCGGGGUUUCUCACGUCAUCUUCCAGGAGUUGUGGCGUCCUGCGUUUCACUGGAUCCAUCUCGAGCUACCUUGUGAGUAGAGGGGGAGAGAUGGGACAUGGAAAGAAGGCAUGGACCAAAGCGAGACCAAAAUUCAGCUGGGCAAAUGGGUCCUGUAGCUCCACGUCCAGUGUCUGGGGCAUGUGGCUUCACAAUGUUCUCUUCAAAGGGUCUUUAUGAAUCGCACCCUCAGGAGCUGCCCACAGGGACUUUGACCCUGCUGCACUUUGCCUGGCCUCCCAUGCCUUCCUUGAAAUCUCAGUGGAAGCCUCCAUGGCCCUCUAACUCCUGGAUCCUGCAAUCCUGUAGAACCAGCGCCAUGUGGUUGACACCAGUGUCUGCCGCCAUCUCUAGCAGUAGCCAAGCCUCCCUGGGACCACAUCUGCAGCAGCCUCCGAGUGCCUGGGCAUUGAAAGCAGUAAAACAAUUUCCUAGGACCCCCUGAGCAAACAGAGUACCAGCAUGGUCUCUUUUCAAAGGAAUUUUUAUUUUCCCUCUUGAGCCUGAGAUGGGUGUGGUCUUGCCAAUUCCUGAGAUGCCCUUAAGCUAUCUUUCCUAUCAUUUCUGCAUCAAGUACUUAGAAUCUCUUUAGUGACUGUGUAGUAUUUAACAACCACAAUUCCUUAGUUCCAGUUUUAUUCACAUUAAAGCUUCCAGUAAUA